GUUGAUCCUGCCGGAGGCCAUUGCUAUCGGAGUCCGAUUUAGCCAUGCUAGUCGAGCGAGGUUAGCCCUCGCGGCGAACAGCUCAGUAACACGUGGCCAAGCUACCCUGCAGAGGGGGACAGCGUCGGGAAACUGACGGGAAUCCCCCAUACCGGUCUCACGCUGGAAUGCCGAGACCGACAAACGCUCCGGCGCUGCAGGAUGCGGCUGCGGCCGAUUAGGUAGUCGGUGGGGUAACGGCCCACCGAGCCGAUAAUUGGUACGGGGUGUGAGAGCACGAGCCCGGAGACGGAAUCUGAGACAAAAUUCCGGGCCCUACGGGGCGCAGCAGGCGCGAAACCUUUACACUGCACGAAGGUGCGAUAAGGGGACUCCGAGUGCGAGGGCAUACAGUCCUCGCUAUUGUGUACCGUAUGGUGGUACACGACCAGUAGCUGGGCAAGACCGGUGCCAGCCGCCGCGGUAAUACCGGUGAGCUCGAGUGAUGGCCGAUUUUAUUGGGCCUAUAGCUGUCCGUAGCUGGCCCUGCAAGUCCGUCGGGAAAUCCACUCGCCUAACGAGUGGGCGUCCGGCGGAAACUACAGGGCUUGAGACCGGAAGACUGCAGAGGUACGUCUGGGGUAGGAGUGAAAUCCUGUAAUCCUGGACGGACCGCCGAUGGCGAAAGCACCUCAAGACGACGGAUCCGACAGUGAGGGACGAAAGCUAGGGUCUCGAACCGGAUUAGAUACCCGGGUAGUCCUAGCCGUAAACGAUGUUCGCUAGAUGUGGCACAGGCUACGUGCCUGUGCUGUGUCGUAGGGAAGCCGAGAAGCGAACCGCCUGGGAAGUACGUCCGCAAGGAUGAAACUUAAAGGAAUUGGCGGGGGAGCACUACAACCGGAGGAGCCUGCGGUUUAAUUGGACUCAACGCCGGACAUCUCACCAGCUCCGACUACAGUGAUGACGAUCAGGUUGACGACCUCGUCAUGAUGCUGUAGAGAGGAGGUGCAUGGCCGCCGUCAGCUCGUACCGUGAGGCGUCCUGUUAAGUCAGGCAACGAGCGAGACCCGCGCACCUACUUGCCAGCAGCAGUUUCGACUGGCUGGGUACAGUAUGUGGACUGCCAGGGGCAACCUGGAGGAAGGAACGGGCAACGGUAGGUCAGUAUGCCCCGAAUGAGCUGGGCGACACGCGGGCUACAAUGGUCGAGACAAUGGGUUGCCACCUCGAGAGAGGGCGCUAAUCUCCGAAACUCGAUCGUAGUUCGGAUUGAGGGCUGAAACUCGCCCUCAUGAAGCUGGAUUCGGUAGUAGUCGCCUUUCAGUAAAAGGCGGCGAAUACGUCCCUGCUCAUUGUACACACCGCCCGUCA
rnacentral:rRNA from 1 species